UGCCUUGUUGGUACAGCAAGAACAGGCACACACCUCCUUUUGUGCCUGAACUUAGCAACGAGGCCACAGAAAACACAGGCUAAGCUUCCAUCAUUGUGAGAUAAAUUACAGUGGUGACAAUGAGGCCUGUAAUAUCU